rnacentral:piRNA from 1 species
UGACUGGUGAUGCGAUGCCUUGGGGAUCG